rnacentral:lncRNA from 1 species
CUUUUCCAUGAAGGUCCCCAAUUGGGCAGUGCCCUGAAAUCACUUCUAAUGCUGAUGCUAGGCAACACCUCAGACCUACUGCUCAGACCCUCCAGGGGCAGGGCCCAGGAUUGAAGAGGGAAGCCCUGCUCCACACGUGUUCAUCAGGAAGGACCCACAGACUGCUGCUCCUGGAGGCCUCUCGGUUUAUGGAUGUGUGUUUGUUCCAUAAACCCUCAGAGGGUCACCUGGAGACCCGCUAAAAUGCAGGUUCUUGGGCCACAUCCUAGACCUUCUGACCGACCCAGGGAGUGGGGCCCAGGAAGCUGCAUUUGACAGAUAUCCCCGUGUGAUCAUCAUGCACACAGGAGUGAGAGAACCAGUGUUCUCCCCGGGCAGAAGGGAAGCUCGUGUGCAGGACACCUCACACCUCCUUUCCCAUUCCCCUGCCAGGCUCUCCCUGCUGACAUUGUUUUUGCGGGAGAGCUGUGAAUUCUGAAGAUUAGGUUGCUUCUCACCCCAAGCUCCAGAAGUCCAGGCUGAGCCAAACCAAGCUUCAAGUUGUGCCUGGACUUGGAGAACCAGGAGGUGAGGGGACUGACUACUUGAAGAUCACAUGGAGGAGGAGUCUGAUCCAGGCCCAGGCACCAAGGAAAGGCCAUGCAAGGACACAGGGAGAAGGGCAGCUGUCUGUAAGCCAGAAAGAGCCUUCAC